GGUUCAAUAAAAUCUAGAAAGGAGAGAGCAUAUUUAAGAUUUAGAGUUUCACAACAUGAAAGAGAUAUUCAAUUAAUGGAGCUUAUUAUCCAAUAUUUAGGUGUCGGAAGAAUUGAAAAAGAUUCAAGAAAACCUCUAAUAUAUUUGGUAGUAGGAAAUUUUUCAGAUAUAACUCAAAUAAUAAUUCCUUUUUUUAAUAAAUAUCCGAUACUUGGUAUAAAAAUUUUAGAUUAUCAAGAUUGAUGUAAAAUAGCUAGUAUAAUAAAUUCAGGUUGCCAUUUAACAAAUGAAGGCUUCGAAGAAAUACGGCAAAUAGAAUCAGGAAUGAAUCGUGGAAGAAAAAAUUAAAUGUUUUAUUUAUUGUAUGAUAAAUUUGAUGAACCAUGGGUGCCAGAAGACUCGGUAAGGCCAGAAGCACAAACGUUAGUCGUAAUAAUCAGGCGUAAAGGGUGUGUAGGCUGCUUUUUAAAACAUUUCUUUUUAGGUUAACUACAGUCAUAGAAAUAUACUGAUUAGAAAGAAAGGUGACUAGAAGCUAGAAUCAUAACGAGGUUAAACCGAAUAAUACUUAGAGUAGGGAUAAAAUCUUCAGAUACUAAGGGGAAUACUUAAAGGUGUAAGCUUUUUUCCACUAAUGAUUGACGCUGAGACACGAAGGUGAGGAAAGGAAAUAGGAUUAGAUACCCAAACUACCCCCCACUGUCAACGAUGAAUGGUAACUUGUUAGUUUUUAAUAAAUUAGCAUUGAUGUUAACGCGAUAACCAUUCCGCCUUGCG
rnacentral:rRNA from 1 species